CUUGUCCCUUUAAGCAUUACAGAUGUGGCUGCUGUGUCACAUGUGCGUCAGUAGGUGGCAGAGGAGAGAAGCUAUGUCUACACUCCUAUGCCCUAUGGACAUAUGAAUGAUUAGUAGCCUAACAUU